AUGCCAUUGGCUGAGUUCCUGUUUGGCAGCAGAAGUGCAGUUUCAGCACUUUCAUACGUUUUUAAGCCGAGCGGUCAAGUUUCUGGCACAAACCAGCGUUUUCUCCCUGGUCUCCAUCCAGGCGCUCGCGUCCAAGACGUUGGACCAGGCCAGCGCCCAGUUUGCUGCUUCGGCCCUCGUCACCACGGACCAGCUGCUGGCCUUCAAGUCCAAAGAGGAGCUGGUGCUGGCGAGUGGAGUCAACGGGGUCCUGGCGGGUGCAGGUGUUUUCAAAGGCUUGCACCUCUCCAGCACCACCGCAGCUCUUCACCAGACCAACCAGUCGACACACACUACCACCUCCGUGGCCCCGACUUUCCUCCAGCCCUCCUCCAACUCGGCCACCCCUUCGCCCGCCAACGCCGUCCCCACCUCCCUCGCCUCGGCCCCCAGCGCCCACGCAGCGGCAGCGCUGGGGAUCCUGGGAUGCGGCCCCGCCAACGCCACCCCCGCCACCACUCAGGUCCUCAUCGGGAACAACAUCUGUCUAAGCGUGCCGUCGGCCGCCAGCCUGGCCGCCGGACGCCACAUUCCCCGGACCCUCGGCAACGUGCCACCCUCUGCCUUAAAGCUGUCCGCCACCACCAACAUACAGAUGCCCAAAGUCUCCGGAGCAUCUUCCAUGGACCUGGGCUCAAGGGAUAAUCACGACGAAGACAAGCCAGCACUGAACAGUAUAGCAGACAACACAGUGGCCAUGGAGGUGACGUAGUAGCGGUGCAGUGAAGAGUCCACUCUUUAGGUGCUGUGCAUCGUAGCAUCGGGAAUGCAAAAGGGACAGCAGGACUCUGACGCAGACUGACAGAACGACGAGAGGCCGCGGCCGCUCGCUUGCAAUUCUCAUCUCUCAUACUUUUUAAAAAACCCUCUUUUUGUUCGUUUUUGUUUUUUCUUUUGUUACUGUUAAAAAAGUACAAGAUCGACAUCUGUAAAUUAUGAAUAUGGCAAAAUUAGUAUCUGUACAGUAACUACAUAUUUGUAAUAUCCCCCUUGUAUAUAUUACUUGAAUACAGAACUGUCCAUUUGUGAUGUUUUGCACUUGGGAGUCAAAAAAAAAAAAAAAGUAAAAGCCAAGUAACUUGUGGCGAGUGUGAGAGAUGUGGGAGUUGUAUAGACAAGAGUUUUAUCACAUCAUGUGCAUGGUGCGGAGCCUGCUGUUUUUAUCUAUUUAUUGUGCUGUGUUUACAGUUCUUUUGUUUUGUUUUUGGUUUGUUUUGUUUUUUUAUUUGUACACUGUACCUUCGUUGGUUCCUGUGCUGUAGUAAAUGUUAGGUAGCUACGGACUCCUGGGUAUUUUUGUAUAUUGUGAACACAAAGCAGGUUCCCUCCCCCCCCACCCCACCCCACGCGUUUAUUUUGGGUCCCUGUGCUUCUCUCUGUGGAUCAUGUGAAAAUCAAUGGUGACAUACAUACAGACCAGGAGAGCCAGGAGGAGGAGGAGGAGGAGGAGGAUGAAGUGGAGGCGGAGGCGGAGGCGGCGGCGGCGGUGUGUUGGCAGGUGACUGUGGUUCACUUGAAGAGAGGCGCUCCUCUCUUCCUGGGAACUUCCAUCAACAUUGUCCCAAACACAAGUAACAAAACAGGGAUGAAGUCUCUUCCCAGAAGCCUCUGCUGCUUCUGAUUAAAGCACUAUUUUUUUGUGACGUUUUAGUUUUUUCGUUCAUGGUUUUGAUAAAUAUCAAUGCUGCUUUUGUAUUUUUGUUUUGUUUUGUUUUUUUUAAAGGGGUAAUUCUUCAUUUUCAUGCAAGCAGAGUCCCCUUUUUUUUAUAUUUGUUUUAUCCCACAAAACAUUUUUGUAAAACAAAAAAUCAGUUAUUUUUGUAUUUUCCUUUUUUUUUUUUUGGUUCUUGUGGUAAACUUGAUUGUAAGCUUUUCGUUUAUUGAAAGACUUCAUUCUUUUGUUCAUUUGUUACUUGGUCAUGCAUAGGUGAUAAGGGAGGCGAAUGGGCAGUAAUCGCUGUACGUGUUUCAUCAUUCCAGUUUUUAAUAACAAAAAAUGCUAACGAGGGGACGGAGGGGUCGUUGGGGAAAGCGGCCCGUUUUCUCCCCCCCUCGCCUCCCCCUUUUUUCUUUAAUUUCGUUUUUUCUUUGAAAAAAGAAUCUCCAGACGGCUGCAAGGCCAAAAACCACAAGUAUUGGGUGCCUUCCUUUGGGGAAUUUUAUGUACUCUCUUCUGUGAAGAGUUAGGCACAAAGGCAGCAUUACUUAGUAGUGCUUCUCGUCUUUGUCUGAAUCUGAAUGCCCAGUCCAAUGGCAGGAUAUAUCCAUGAGGUUUACUUGUCCCACCUGGAGGCUGAAAAGACUAAAAAAAAAAAAAAAAAAUGUGACAGAACUCUCACUAAAAUAAGACAAUAAAGCCCAGGGCAUUAAAUGUGAAUUGUUUUGGACUCCCGUGUCUUUUUAAUGUGUGUGUGUUUGUUUGUGUGUCGUCGCAAAUACCUGAAAAAACAGGAACUGAAAAAUGAGGAAGUUAAAGUUACAGUUUGAUUUUUAUCUUUUAACGACUUCAGAAAUACAAAUGUAAGGUUUACCUUGACACGUUAAGUGUUGGGCCAGGGCUAGAUAUAAGGUAGAAAGAUGCAAAUAUGUUUUGAAAUUGGUGCUUAAAGACCAA
rnacentral:lncRNA from 1 species